GAUGAACGCUGGCGGCGUGCCUAAUACAUGCAAGUCGAGCGAACGGACGAGAAGCUUGCUUCUCUGAUGUUAGCGGCGGACGGGUGGGUAACACGUGGAUAACCUACCUAUAAGACUGGGAUAACUUCGGGAAACCGUAGCUAAUACCGGAUAAUAUUUUGAACCGCAUGGUUCAAAAGUGAAAGACGGUCUUGCUGUCACUUAUAGAUGGAUCCGCGCUGCAUUAGCUAGUUGGUAAGGUAACGGCUUACCAAGGCAACGAUGCAUAGCCGACCUGAGAGGGUGAUCGGCCACACUGGAACUGAGACACGGUCCAGACUCCUACGGGAGGCAGCAGUAGGGAAUCUUCCGCAAUGGGCGAAAGCCUGACGGAGCAACGCCGCGUGAGUGAUGAAGGUCUUCGGAUCGUAAAACUCUGUUAUUAGGGAAGAACAUAUGUGUAAGUAACUGUGCACAUCUUGACGGUACCUAAUCAGAAAGCCACGGCUAACUGCGUG
rnacentral:rRNA from 1 species